CAAGGAAUUUUCGUCAAUGGGGGCAACCCUGAACGAGCAACGCCGCGUGGGCGAAGAAGUCCUUCGGGAUGUAAAGCCCUUUUCCCUGUGAAGAAAGAAAGACGGUAACAGGGGAAUAAGCAUCGGCUAACUACGUGCCAGCAGCCGCGGUAAUACGUAGGAUGCAAGCGUUGUCCGGAAUUAUUGGGCGUAAAGAGCGCGCAGGCGGUGUGCCAAGUCAGAUGUGAAAUAUCCGGGCUUAACUCGGAGGGGUCAUUUGAAACUGGUAGACUAGAGUACAGCAGAGGAUAGUGGAAUUCCCGGUGUAGUGGUGAAAUGCGUAGAUAUCGGGAGGAACACCAGUGGCGAAGGCGACUAUCUGGGCUGAAACUGACGCUGAGGCGCGAAGGCUAGGGGAGCAAAC
rnacentral:rRNA from 1 species